GACGUAGGGCGCGAGCGUUUGUCCGGAUUUAUUGGGCGUAAAGAGCUCGUAGGCGGCUUGUCGCGUCAACUGUGAAAACCCGUGGCUCAACCAUGUGGUCUGCAGUCGAUACGGGCAGGCUAGAAUUCGGUAGGGGAGACUGGAAUUCCUGGUGUAGCGGUGAAAUGCGCAGAUAUCAGGAGGAACACCGGUGGCGAAGGCGGGUCUCUGGGCCGAUAUUGACGCUGAGGAGCGAAAGCGUGGGGAGCGAACAGG
rnacentral:rRNA from 1 species